GUGCCAGCAGCCGCGGUAAUACAGAGGGUGCAAGCGAAAAUCGGAAUUACUCCGCGUAAAGCGCGCGUAGGUGGAAUGUUAAGUUGAGUGUGAAAUGGCCGGGCUCUACCUGGGAACUGCAUCCAAAACUGGCAAGCUAGAGUAUGGUAGAGGGUGGUGGAAUUUCCUGUGUAGCAGUGAAAUGCGUAGAUAUAGGAAGGAACACCAGUGGCGAAGGCGACCACCUGGACUGAUACUGACACUGAGGUGCGAAAGCGUGGGGAGCAAACAGGAUUAGAAACCCCCGUAGUCCAUUAGAUACCCUGGUAGUCC
rnacentral:rRNA from 1 species